GGCCCUGGCGGAUUGGCCCCACGAGGGAGGAUGGCGACUCCGGGUCUGGAUGUGUGCUCCCCUUGCGUGCUCUUCGCUUUGCAAAUGGAUCCCUACGUUUUUAAGUGCACAAGAUCCCCUGGGUGUCGCCUGCACACCGCCCCCGAGGCCGCCCUUGUUUGAGUCCACCUCUCCUUGGCUGUGCAGCGUCCGCCAGCCAUGCUGACCCCUGAAGCCUUGGCUGUGCCUCCCAAGUGCACCGGGUUUCCCUGCAGACACACGCUUUGGCAUGAACAUGCCUUCUUAGGCAUGAACAAGAAGUUCACGUGGCUGCCACACCCAAGUGCCUUGCAUUUCGCCUGCUCCCCGCACCCCCCCCAACCAUGUUGCCACACGAGGCUUAUUCUGAAUUACAGGUUGGUUGUGAUAUCACCUCUGGUACAUGGACUGUUAAAACUAUUGAAAGGGAGGUGGAUCUGAAGCACGCCUACCUGUUUCCUGGCAUACUUGGAACGUUGCCAGACCACUGGAUACUUAGAAGGCUAAUUCUACAUUUAUCCUCAGCCAUCAUUCUGAGCGCCUUCAAAAGAUGAAUCAUCUGCACCGACUAUUAAAUUUAAUAACCAUGCACUUCUCCAGGGAAAUUGCCUCAAAGGGACCCACAACUGGCCACGAUUCAUGGUUGAGGAAACACCUCUUCCAGUUUCAGGUGAAGGGGCUCAGGUUCAUCCUCCGCUCAACUCAACGUGCGGUCGGCCUUGGGUCCCCAGGCCGGAACUGGCCUGAGACACGGAAACUCCCACAGCUUCUGCACCCGACCACUGAGGCCUGCUUCUGCCUGAGCUGCAGCAGCCAUGUUCCAAAUGUGUGGUUUGUGGUGAAAUUUCACUGGGAAAUCAGAAAAGAUCACAAAGCGACCUCGGCUCAGGGAUUUCUGUGGACAUCUGUUUCCCACGCAGGCCUUGUCUGGGGACAGGGGAUGCGAUCGUUGGGCAUGGUGACUGAUGCUUCUGCAGAGGCUCGAGGGCCGUUAGGUGUCCUGCUGUCCACAGCCCAGGGGGCUCACACACCUCUUUGCCUGCCCCUGAGAAACCCAGAGAACUGCUUCUCCACUGCACUGCAGUCUUCCAUGUGUGGCUUUCAGCUGCUUCUGGAAGAAUCUGCAUGCCUUCGUGGGUGUUGUCAGUGAGUGUGCAGGGAAUACUCCCUGAGGGAAGUCUCCGCCAUCUGGUAGGCCACAAGAUGCCCCUCUGUGGCCUGGUCCCGCGGGCUUCCCCUUCUCCAGCCUGGUCAUGCAAUGCCAGACUCUCUCCUGAUGGUUCUCACCAGGGAUGCGUCCUCCCUCCUGCCAGGACACCUGCCACUGCCCCUGACUGCCCUGCCUCCUGCCCCGUCCAUGGGGCUGCGUGCAUAUGGAAGGCGCUUUGUGUGUGCCAAUCAGCCCCGAGAAGGAAGGAGGGUUCCCCUGUCCAUUCCUCUACCCAGGAUCCCCAGCUCCUGGGGCAGUGCUGAGACAUGCUGCUAUUACCUGCCCAAGUCCCAAGUUCCCAGGGACAGCAGGCCAGCUGGGUCUACCACCUCAUAGCUGCCCAGGACAGUCCCCAGCCCUGGGCUCACAAAGCUAAAUAAAUAAAUCUUUUAUUUGUUUAUUUAUUUAUUUAUUUUUGAGAGAGUCUCAGUCUCUCACCCAGGCUGGAGUGCAGUGACAUGAUCUCAGCUCACUGCAACCUCUGCCUCCUGGGUUUGAGCGAUUCUCCUGCCUCAGCCUCCCGAGUAGCUUGGAUGACAGGCACCCACCACCACGCCCGUCUAAUUUUUUUUCUAUUUUUAGUAGAGACAGGGUUUCACCAUGUUGGCCAGGCUGGUCUUGAACUCCUGACCUCAAGUGAUCCGCCCACCUCAGCCUCCCAAAGUGCUGGGAUUACAGGCGUCAGCCACUGAGCCCAGCCUAAAGCCGCUUAUCUUUAAGAUGGAGGCCUCGGCCCCUUCAACAGGUUGUGCAGCUCUUGUGGUGGGGGGAGUCCCUUUCCAUGGCCCACCUCAUCCACCGCUGGGGACUCCCUGGGGUCCCAGCAACAAGGACCCACUCCUUCCCCUGCCCGGUGCACAGGUGUAGAUGCCAGGCAGAUUGGGUUGGGGGUGUACUGCACAUUUUCCUUGCAGCAGCGGACGUGGACUCAGGGAACGAACCCAGUCCUCAGUCUUCAAUUCUCAGCCCACAAAAGGGGCUUUCUACCUUGAGGAAGGAACCCCUCAUUUAACAUCUUUUUCUUCAAGUCUUCACCACAUCAUGGAUGUCUGUACGAUGAGAUUGCAGCAGGCACAGAAGCCUGAGGGUACUUGGUGGGAGGAGGCCUGGGGAUAUUGAGGGACCACAUGGCAGGCAGUGGUGGGCAGAUUGUGAGUUCUAUCCUGAUGGGCGCCCACAGGCAGCAGGACCCCUGGAGGCGGCCGUGCCUCCAUCUCCUAAAGAAAGGCAGCGCUCACUCAUGCUGGGAACGUGUGGGGCAGCAUUUACAGCCCAGGUUGUGACAAGGAUGUAUAAGUCACUGUGCCUGAGUCACGGAAACCCAAUGGUGUUUAUCACUUCUUCCCUGAGAGAGAUGAGGGGACCAGGCACGGCGCUUACCAUGAGGGUCAGGGAACUGCACUCAAGGCCUGGACUGGGUUCCAUCUUCCCAUAGCUGUCAGGGAAGGAAGCUGGCCCUCCCAUUCCUCCUGGAGGGACCAGGCCACCAGGUCUUUGAUCCUGAGAGGCAUCUUUGCCAAGGAGCAAAAAGGAUGGUGUCUGCUCAGGGCAUAGCCCAGGAGACUUCCACCCAUUGCCCCUUAGGAGCCCCUUAGGAGGCAGCAGAUGGGCUCAGCACAGGUGGCUGGAAGGGUCCAGUCCCUCCAUCCCCAGGUCUCUCAGAGGAAUCGCAUAGUUCUCCCUCUAACCCAGGACCUAAAAAUCUCCAGCUUGCCUCCAAGAAGAAUCCUGCUGGCCAUUUCCCAAGGCACACCCAGACCACAAGAGGCUGGAGGGUCUGCCCACAUCCUUGCCUGGGUGCACCUACCCCAUUAAUGUUCCCUGCAGCCCAGGGCUCCUCGGCAAAAGCCUCGUGAAGUCACGUGUCCAGUUUUUGGGGAGUUAGUUUAGUUAAAACUGGACAUCACGAUCUGAAGUCCUCAUGUCCAUCUUGGGUGAGCUGUGGAGUGGAGCUGGUAUAGCUGGGUGCUGGAGGGUCCCAGUGGGUCUCUGGGAUUCUCCUGGCAACAGGGGAGCCUGCUGGGCUGCCUAAACAGUGCCUGCUGGGCCAAGCCUAUUGCUUAGAGAGCAACUGCAGCAGUCCUUGUGUUAUAGUUUCUUUUCUCACCUCAGAGGGUCAGGGUGGAUAUGUCCAGGAUCCCCUCUUCAGUGGCAGUUUUGGGAGUUACUAAAAGAGGCUCUUCCCACCCCACUGCCAGAAUAGUGAAUUGCAGUGAGGCAUCCCUGACCCCACCGCCCCACACAUGGCCCCAGGUGGACACAAAUAGUCUUUUCUGCAGAAUGUGAGAGCCAGUCCUCCCUGCCUUGGACAUCCGGCUCCCCACCCUGGGUAGUGAGGCCAGGCAUUCCUGCAACUCUCUCCUGUGGGUGGUGUCUUGAGUCUCUGCAACCAUGGACACAGGUGGCAGCAAUGUACUUGGAUUCCGACGAAGGGGGUGCCCAUGGCUGAGGCAGGACUGGGUUCACAGCCAUCCAAGUUAGCAUCUGGGAGAGUUGGCUCAUGCUCCAGAGAGCCUCCUCCCUUCAAGUCUUGGUGACUUGUCAGGGGAUUUUUAGCACGAGGUGGUUGCCUCACCAAGGGAGCAGCAUUCUUGGGCCUUGUAAACUGUCUGGACACCGCAAAGCAUUGAUGCCUCCCUGGACAGCAUGGGCCUGGCUCUGCCAACACAUCCGUCAUCCUACUACACACUUCCAGCAAACAGGGAUGAUGCUUUUCAUCCAAGGUCAAGGUUGGUGGGGAAGGGCUCUGUCUUGGCCCAUGGGCCUGCAGGUCUGUCUCUGAGUUGGGACAGCUGCUGGAAGGCCCCACUAAACUAAUGUAAGAUACUCGGAAAGUUUGUCACCAGGGGAAGAAAGCAUUCUGGACUGCAUCAUUGGUGUCAGAUUCCACUGUGUGUUUAGAAGGCACAGUUUGUUUCCGAGAGUCUCAAAAUGUAAGCAGCAAACACCCUGCCAAGCUGCAGACAUAGGGCAGAUACAGAGAGGGGUGAAGAACUGGAGCAACUGAAGGCACUUCCCAUGGAUGCUGCGGGGAGAGGACCUCUUCCUGGGAGCUGAGGGCCAGGAUCCCCCUGAGGCCCUCUCUGGUCAAAUGAAAAUGGUUCCUGUCUUAUAUAUUAGGUGAAAGUUUGGAUCUCUGUUCUGUAAACUGGCCAGGACUGCACAACAACCUCCCAGUGGCCCAUGGAGUGGCACCCUCACGGGGUGAAGCCGCCCCCAGCACCAGUGCAGCCAAAGCUCCGGCUCCUUGGGUGAGCUGGAGAGGAGGAGGCACUUCAGCAGGGGCUGGGGGUGCUGUGUGAUUUGCCUGAGAAGCUGCUUCUGUUAACGAAGUCCUGUGCCUGGUGGGAACUCGGGUCGGCCAUGAGGAGGAUGCACCCAUGUCCUCACGCCUGUGGCUGGGUCUCCUCCUCAUCUUGUGGCAGCGCCAGACAUUCCAGAACAUGGGUUCAGGAAACUUGGACUGGGUCUGAACCAGCAGGAAGCAUGCCAAGAAACCUCCUCCCACCGUCCUGCUCUUCUCUCCCUCCCUCCCUCUUCCCUCCCUCCCCCGUCCCUCACUCUUCCCCUUCUCCCCCGUCCCCCUUUUCCUCUUUCUCUCUGAUCACCAGUCUUCUGAGUUAUCACAACCAAGUGAGACUGACUCAAGCUAUUAUUGAAAAUAUGGCCACAUCGAAUGUUUUUCUGAUAAAAAGAAGAACAUAAGUAAUUGGGGCAGGGGGUGAGGUGAGGACCUGGCGGAUGCCUUGGAGGCAACACGAGGGUGGAUUUGCUUGGGCAGAGCUAAGCCAGUGAGGCCAUCUCCACUCAGGCCCGAUGGAGUGGAGGGCACUGCCUUGAUCCAGUGGAGCCCGUGGACUGUGCCUUUUCCCAGACCUGAUGCCUCUCCCACCCCUGCCCCUGUUGCCCCAGAGCCAGGUGAGGGCAGAUGGCCCAGGGCCACCUCAGACCCCCACUGGGAGAGCAGCCAAAGCCAUGCCCAGUACCAGUAGCAGUGCCUCAUGUUCUGAAGAUCUGCCUUGUGGAUAAAAAUGCCUCAUCCAUUCUUACCGCUAUGGAAUAUUCACUUAUAGACAUUUAUCACUUUUUCCAGGUUAUAGUUUUGUGAAAUAAAAUGUUUAUUAUUUUUUGUUAUGAAA